rnacentral:rRNA from 1 species
GACGAACGCUGGCGGCGUGCUUAACACAUGCCAGUCGAACGGUGAACCUCUUCGGAGGGGUUCAGUGGCGAACGGGUGAGUAACACGUGGGCAACCUGCUCCCGGCUCUGGGAUAACUCCAAGAAAUUGGGGCUAAUACUGGCUGUUCACCGCUUCCCGAAUGGGUGGUGGUGGAAAGGGUUUCCGGCUGGGGAUGGGCCCGCGGCCUAUCAGCUUGUUGGUGGGGUAGUGGCCCACCAAGGCGACGACGGGUAGCCGGCCUGGGAGGGUGAACAGCCACACUGGGACUGAGACACGGCGCAGUCGCCUACGGGAGGCAGCAGUGGGGAAUAUUGCGCAAUGGGCGGAAGCCUGACGCAGCGACGCCGCGUGGGGGAUGACGGCCUUCGGGUGGUAAACCGCUGUCAGCAGGGACGAAGCGGAAGUGACGUUACCUGCAGAAGAAGCACCGGCUAACUACGUG